UGAGCAACCUGCCCUUGGCUUCGGGAUAACUCCGGGAAACCGGGGCUAAUACCGGAUGUGACGCGCCCGCGCAUGGGGGUGUGUGGAAAGAUUUAUUGGCCAGGGAUGGGCUCGCGGCCUAUCAGCUUGUUGGUGGGGUGAUGGCCUACCAAGGCGACGACGGGUAGCCGGCCUGAGAGGGUGACCGGCCACACUGGGACUGAGACACGGCCAGACUCCGUACGGGAGGCA
rnacentral:rRNA from 1 species